rnacentral:rRNA from 1 species
AGACCCGAAACCCGGUGAUCUAGCCAUGGGCAGGUUGAAGGUUGGGUAACACUAACUGGAGGACCGAACCGACUAAUGUUGAAAAAUUAGCGGAUGACCUGUGGCUGGGGGUGAAAGGCCAAUCAAACCGGGAGAUAGCUGGUUCUCCCCGAAAGCUAUUUAGGUAGCGCCUCGUGAAUUCAUCUCCGGGGGUAGAGCACUGUUUCGGCUAGGGGGCCAUCCCGGCUUACCAACCCGAUGCAAACUGCGAAUACCGGAGAAUGUUAUCACGGGAGACACACGGCGGGUGCUAACGUCCGUCGUGAAGAGGGAAACAACCCAGACCGCCAGCUAAGGUCCCAAAGUCAUGGUUAAGUGGGAAACGAUGUGGGAAGGCCCAGACAGCCAGGAUGUUGGCUUAGAAGCAGCCAUCAUUUAAAGAAAGCGUAAUAGCUCACUGGUCGAGUCGGCCUGCGCGGAAGAUGUAACGGGGCUAAACCAUGCACCGAAGCUGCGGCAGCGAACGUAUCACCCAAGACAACUUUACGGAGUUGACGAUUGACGGAGCGAAGCGACGUCAAAGCGUUCAUUAAAGUCGAGUUGGCUUAGGGAUACGUUCGUUGGGUAGGGGAGCGUUCUGUAAGCCUGUGAAGGUGUGUCGUGAGGCAUGCUGGAGGUAUCAGAAGUGCGAAUGCUGACAUAAGUAACGAUAAAGCGGGUGAAAAGCCCGCUCGCCGGAAGACCAAGGGUUCCUGUCCAACGUUAAUCGGGGCAGGGUGAGUCGACCCCUAAGGCGAGGCCGAAAGGCGUAGUCGAUGGGAAACGGGUUAAUAUUCCCGUACUUGGUGUUACUGCGAAGGGGGGACGGAGAAGGCUAUGUUGGCCGGGCGACGGUUGUCCCGGUUUAAGCGUGUAGGUGUGUGUUCCAGGUAAAUCCGGUUCACUUUAACACUGAGGCGUGACGACGAGGCACUACGGUGCUGAAGCAACAAAUGCCCUGCUUCCAGGAAAAGCCUCUAAGCAUCAGGUAACACGAAAUCGUACCCCAAACCGACACAGGUGGUCAGGUAGAGAAUACCAAGGCGCUUGAGAGAACUCGGGUGAAGGAACUAGGCAAAAUGGUGCCGUAACUUCGGGAGAAGGCACGCUGACACGUAGGUGAAGUGAUUUACUCAUGGAGCUGAAGUCAGUCGAAGAUACCAGCUGGCUGCAACUGUUUAUUAAAAACACAGCACUGUGCAAACACGAAAGUGGACGUAUACGGUGUGACGCCUGCCCGGUGCCGGAAGGUUAAUUGAUGGGGUCAGCGCAAGCGAAGCUCCUGAUCGAAGCCCCGGUAAACGGCGGCCGUAACUAUAACGGUCCUAAGGUAGCGAAAUUCCUUGUCGGGUAAGUUCCGACCUGCACGAAUGGCGUAAUGAUGGCCAGGCUGUCUCCACCCGAGACUCAGUGAAAUUGAACUCGCUGUGAAGAUGCAGUGUACCCGCGGCAAGACGGAAAGACCCCGUGAACCUUUACUAUAGCUUGACACUGAACAUUGAGCCUUGAUGUGUAGGAUAGGUGGGAGGCUUUGAAGUGUGGACGCCAGUCUGCAUGGAGCCGACCUUGAAAUACCACCCUUUAAUGUUUGAUGUUCUAACGUGGACCCGUAAUCCGGGUUGCGGACAGUGUCUGGUGGGUAGUUUGACUGGGGCGGUCUCCUCCUAAAGAGUAACGGAGGAGCACGAAGGUUGGCUAAUCCUGGUCGGACAUCAGGAGGUUAGUGCAAUGGCAUAAGCCAGCUUGACUGCGAGCGUGACGGCGCGAGCAGGUGCGAAAGCAGGUCAUAGUGAUCCGGUGGUUCUGAAUGGAAGGGCCAUCGCUCAACGGAUAAAAGGUACUCCGGGGAUAACAGGCUGAUACCGCCCAAGAGUUCAUAUCGACGGCGGUGUUUGGCACCUCGAUGUCGGCUCAUCACAUCCUGGGGCUGAAGUAGGUCCCAAGGGUAUGGCUGUUCGCCAUUUAAAGUGGUACGCGAGCUGGGUUUAGAACGUCGUGAGACAGUUCGGUCCCUAUCUGCCGUGGGCGCUGGAGAACUGAGGGGGGCUGCUCCUAGUACGAGAGGACCGGAGUGGACGCAUCACUGGUGUUCGGGUUGUCAUGCCAAUGGCACUGCCCGGUAGCUAAAUGCGGAAGAGAUAAGUGCUGAAAGCAUCUAAGCACGAAACUUGCCCCGAGAUGAGUUCUCCCUGAGACUUAGAGUCUCCUGAAGGAACGUUGAAGACGACGACG